CUGGCAGGUUUGUGGAGGAGCAGGAUCAGGAAUCAAUAAAGUGCAGAAGGAAAACUGUGACUGAAAAGAUGAGAGAGAAGCCAAAAGUAAGGACACCCAGGAAGAUGACAGAGGUUUGUACCUCUGUUGUAGGCAUGGCUGUGAGUGCUGCUGGGAUCCCACUGCCCCUUUGUGGAAAGGAACAGAGGAAGACUUCCAAGGGGCUGGGCAGCAACACCUGUGUAAGAAACACCCAAGAAGCACAGUUCAUUAAGAAAGAAAAGCUAGUUGAAUGAUUGUUACAUUCUUCAAACCAAUUCUCGUUUUUCUUUAAUUGCUUCUGAUGCCCUUGGCCCUGUGAAACGACAGAGUCUGUUGCUCAGUGAGUUACGAGAUCAUUGAUCCUAGAAGCUGGUGGUUUUAUUUGGGCCAGAGAGGAUUUGGGAAGCAACUGCCAAACAAAUUUUCCAGACAGAAACUCAUGCUACUGCCUAUGAGAGCCUAUAAGUCCUAUAUGAUGAGCAGCGUGUCUGCAUGUUUUUAUUGAGUUUUCUUUAGGAAAUGCCAGCUCUA